AUUGAACGCUGGCGGCAGGCCUAACACAUGCAAGUCGAACGGUAACAGGAAGAAGCUUGCUUCUUUGCUGACGAGUGGCGGACGGGUGAGUAAUGUCUGGGAAACUGCCUGAUGGAGGGGGAUAACUACUGGAAACGGUAGCUAAUACCGCAUAACGUCGCAAGACCAAAAAGGGGGACCUUCGGGCCUCUUGCCAUCGGAUGUGCCCAGAUGGGAUUAGCUAGUAGGUGGGGUAACGGCUCACCUAGGCGACGAACCCUAGCUGGUCUGAGAGGAUGACCAGCCAGACUGUAACUGAGACACGGUCCAGACUCCUACGGGAGGCAGCAGUGGGGAAUAUUGCACAAUGGGCGCAAGCCUGAUGCAGCCAUGCCGCGUGUAUGAAGAAGGCCUUCGGGUUGUAAAGUACUUUCAGCGGGGAGGAAGGGAGUAAAGUUAAUACCUUUGCUCAUUGACGUUACCCGCAGAAGAAGCACCGGCUAACUCCGUG
rnacentral:rRNA from 1 species